rnacentral:rRNA from 1 species
UACAGAGGGGGCAAGCGUUGUUCGGAAUUACUGGGCGUAAAGGGCGCGUAGGCGGCCUUCUAAGUCGAACGUGAAAUCCCCGGGCUCAACCCGGGAACUGCGUCCGAUACUGGAAGGCUUGAAUCCGGGAGAGGGAUGCGGAAUUCCAGGUGUAGCGGUGAAAUGCGUAGAUAUCUGGAGGAACACCAGCGGCGAAGGCGGCAUCCUGGCCCUUACCUGACGCUGAGGCGCGAGAGCGUGGGGAGCAAACCGG